rnacentral:piRNA from 1 species
UAAUUUUUAUUUUUGAUAGUCUGAUUCACC